ACUCCAACUACAACCACAGCUGCUCCAACAACAACCACAGCGGCUCCAACCACAACCACAACGGCUCCAACCACAACCACAGCUUCUCCAACCACAACACCUGCACCAACCACGACAACAUCUGCUCCAACAACAACUGCAUCUAUAACAAUUUCUACAACAGCAGCAACUACCGUUAGCACAACUGAGAUGAGAGUUGUCCGCCGGAUGAACUUUAGGUCUCCUAUUGAUACCUUUACCAACAAUCUUGAAAUCAGUUCUUCAGAUUCUUUCAGCCAACGAUCCCAACUUUUGUGGAAUCGUCUUCAUCCCCUCUACAAACAAGCAUUUUCGUCAUUCUUGAGAAUGAUUAUUAUCUCAUUCAGAAGAGGAUCAGUUAUCAACACGCUAGACCUCGAAUUUCAAGUAACAGAUGUUCCUAGUAAUCAAGCAAUCGAAAAUGUUUUAAUCAAUGAGGCACCAAACAUAACUGAAUUCUCGGUGGAAGCGUCAUCGGUUAUUGUUGGAGACAUAGUUGCUUUAACAACAACAACAGCUGCACCAACAACAACCACAACUGCUC